AUGCUUAACACUUUGUUAAAAUUUUAUCAGGAAAACUUUGAGAUAACAUCAGAUCAAGAAGCAGCUGUAGUAAUAAACAUUGCACAGUCUCUGUCGAAAGAUUUGAAAGCUUUUUGUGAAAAGAAAGCAACUCUCAAGUAUAUUAAAACUCUUCCAUCGUUGAUGUCACAAGGGGAAAUAAAUGAAAGUCAGCAUAAUCCUGUCAAACCAUUUGAAAGUAACAAAGACCAACCAGGAGAUGGUUGGACUAAGCAUGGAGGUCUGACAGAGGGACUUGCAAAGUUACAGGCCCUAUUACAACAGGUGCCAAUUACUUCACACACCCGUGCUGAUUCAUCUGACUACCGACUGGGGAGGAAAACUUCUUUACAUGGCCUGUAUUCUAACGAUCUUGCAACAGUGUCUGCUCUUAAAGGUUCGCUUGCCUUUCAACCAGGAAGCUUUCAUUCUGGAAUGAAUAAGUGGAUGAAAGAAUUCAACCAGUCUGCUUCGACUUAUUUCCAGUCAACCCCAGCUGAAGAAGAGUCUCCCCACUUUAGAUCAGCACGAAGAAACUACAUGACGAAACGUAAUCAGGAUGGCAGGUUACCCUUCAGAAAGAAAAUCCUCAAGGUAUCAUGA
rnacentral:lncRNA from 1 species